UGAGGAGAGGAGCAGAAACCAGAGAAGCAGCGGAGAUCCUCCGGCCUUCACCGAGGUGUCCACGGGGGGAGCCAGGAAGAUGUGGAGCCCCCAGCCAGCCAGGAUUUGUCAAUCCCAAAAUUUGCCUGGACGGAGGAGAAGGAGGCUGCGAGGAAAAGGAAGAUGCGCUGGUGUGGAGGCCCAUGGGAGUGUCAAUCUCCCACCCAUGGAGGACUGGUCCCCAAUAAGAAGAAUAGAUUUCAAGGUUAUGGUGACAAGCUUGCUUCUCCCACAGAUCUUUGCAGGCACAUGCUGAUUUAUGGAAAGUUCUGUUACCCCAUUGGCCCGUUGGCCUAAUUACACUAGUUCACCCCCUAUUACCCAUCUCUGGUUAGUCCCUCGAAUGUUCUCCCUCUCUGUCCCUCCAUUGGCCCCAGUUUACUGCAUUCCUCUGCCCCUGUUUCCCUAUUAGCUGUCCCGACCCUUAACCCCUCCUUUGCCCCAUUUUCCCCCAUAUCCAUUGGACCCUGACCCUCAGCUCCACCCUCACUACCCCAUAUAAAAACCCCCUGUGCCCUCAGCUUGCACCCUGUCUUUGUCCCUGGACCCUGUUCAGCUCUGUCCCCUGUUCCUGUACCAAUAAACCCAGUUUGCUGAGAUCAUA